ACGAACGCUGGCGGCGUGCCUAAUACAYRCAAGUCGAGMGAAYCUUUARGAGCUUGCUYCYAAARRUUAGCGGCGGACGGGUGAGUAACACGUGGGCAACCUGCCUGUAAGACUGGGAUAACAUCGGGAAACCGAUGCUAAUACCGGAUAAUCCUUUUCCUCUCAUGAGGAAAAGCUGAAAGUCGGUUUACGCUGACACUUACAGAUGGGCCCGCGGCGCAUUAGCUAGUUGGUGAGGUAACGGCUCACCAAGGCGACGAUGCGUAGCCGACCUGAGAGGGUGAUCGGCCACACUGGGACUGAGACACGGCCCAGACUCCUACGGGAGGCAGCAGUAGGGAAUCUUCCACAAUGGACGAAAGUCUGAUGGAGCAACGCCGCGUGAGCGAUGAAGGCCUUCGGGUCGUAAAGCUCUGUUGUUAGGGAAGAACAAGUAUCGGAGUAACUGCCGGUACCUUGACGGUACCUAACCAGAAAGCCACG
rnacentral:rRNA from 1 species